UAUACUCGUUCCGCCCUAGCAGCACGUAAAUAUUGGUGUAGUAAAGUAAAUCUUAAACCCCAAUAUUAUUGUGCUGCUUAAGCGUGGCAGA
ensembl:miRNA